UUCUAUUGUACCCACAUCAUCAUCGUCUCACACGGAAGAGAUGAGGCCUGUCAUCAAUCCAUCAGAUUACUCUUUUGAUAGUGCAAAUUGGAAUUACAGAAAGGUUUCUUUUUGGAGAAGGGCCGAACGAAACAAAUACGCAGAAUGUAGGUAUCAAGGAUUUUCACCUACUCUAAAUGAACAGUGUUGGUAGUACCUGGGCAAACUCUGAGAGGCA
rnacentral:lncRNA from 1 species